rnacentral:rRNA from 1 species
UAUAAAGUCUAACCUGCCCAAUGAGGAUUUAAAUGGCCGCGGUAUUUUGACCGUGCAAAGGUAGCAUAAUAAUUAGUUUUUUAAUUGAAAGCUGGAAUGAAUGGUUGGACGAGAAAAUAACUGUCUCAAGCUAAUUUAAUUAGAAUUUUAUUUUUGAGUAAAAAAGCUUAAAUUUUUUUAAAAGACGAGAAGACCCUAUAGAGCUUUAUAUUUUUAAAAUUAAAAAUAAUUUAGAAUAUUAUAGUUUUUAUUUUUAGGUGUAUUUUAUUGGGGUGAUGGAAAAAUUUAUAAAACUUUUUUUUUAUUUAAACAUUGAUUUAUGGUUAAUUGAUCCAUUAUUUAUGAUUAAAAGAUUAAGUUACCUUAGGGAUAACAGCGUAAUUUUUUUUUAGAGUUCUUAUCGAAAAAAGAGAUUGCGACCUCGAUGUUGGAUUAAAAUAAAUAUUUGGUGUAGAGGCUAAAUAAUUAGGUCUGUUCGACCUUUGAAAUUUUACA